rnacentral:rRNA from 2 species
CGAGCGGCGACGGGUGAGUAACACGUGAGCAACCUGCCCCUGACUCUGGGAUAAGCGGUGGAAACGCCGUCUAAUACCGGAUACGACCUGCCACCUCAUGGUGGAGGGUGGAAAGUUUUUCGGUCAGGGAUGGGCUCGCGGCCUAUCAGCUUGUUGGUGGGGUAACGGCCUACCAAGGCGAUUACGGGUAGCCGGCCUGAGAGGGCGACCGGCCACACUGGGACUGAGACACGGCCCAGACUCCUGCGGGAGGCAGCAGUGGGGAAUAUUGCGCAAUGGGCGAAAGCCUGACGCAGCGACGCCGCGUGGGGGAUGACGGCCUUCGGGUUGUAAACCUCUUUUACCACCAACGCAGGCUCGAAGUUUUCUUCGGGUUGACGGUAGGUGGGGAAUAAGGACCGGCUAACUACGUGCCAGCAGCCGCGGUAAUACGUAGGGUCCGAGCGUUGUCCGGAAUUAUUGGGCGUAAAGAGCUCGUAGGCGGCGUGUCGCGUCUGCUGUGAAAGACCGGGGCUUAACUCCGGUUCUGCAGUGGAUACGGGCAUGCUAGAGGUAGGUAGGGGAGACUGGAAUUCCUGGUGUAGCGGUGAAAUGCGCAGAUAUCAGGAGGAACACCGGUGGCGAAGGCGGGUCUCUGGGCCUUACCUGACGCUGAGGAGCGAAAGCAUGGGGAGCGAACAGGAUUAGAUACCCUGGUAGUCCAUGCCGUAAACGUUGGGCGCUAGGUGUGGGGACUUUCCACGGUUUCCGCGCCGUAGCUAACGCAUUAAGCGCCCCGCUGGGGAGUACGGCCGCAGGCUAAACUCAAGGAUGACGG